UGAAACCGUUUAGGGGUAAACCUGAGAAACCCGAAAGGUCGAAGGGAGAAAUUCAUCGCGUUUCGAGGAGGGCGUCGAGAGAUCCGGCGACGGGAGCGCGUUCGCGCGCUUCCCGCGCGUUUCUUUCGACGAGCCGUUCUUCGAAUGCGUGCACUUUUCUCCUGGUAGGACGUCGCGAUCCGUCGGGUGUCGAUCUACGUAUCGCGGUGGAGCCCGUCGGCGGCGUUUCGGCGCUCGCUCGACGGACCCGCGAGAUCCGAUCGACUCGCUCGACGGUAUACGAACGGUCGGAGGCCGCUUCUAAGAGCGUCCGUCCGGCGGCAAGCGCGCCGGUUUCGUCGGGGUUUCGGACAUAGUGCCGGCUCUGACUUCCGGUGACUGUUGGCCGUCGAUUUCUCGGACAGACCUCUAAUUUAAGACCGAUCUGCGACGCUAUAGCUUUGGGUAAUUUCAGGACCCGUCUUGAAACACGGACCAAGGAGUCUAGCAUGUACGCGAGUCAUUGGGAAUCGAUAAACCUACAGGCGCAAUGAAAGUAAAGAUCCUCCUUGCGAAGAUCGAGGGAAGAUGGGCGCGCUUCGCGGCGCGCCUCGCACUCCCGGGGCGUCUCGUUCUCAUCGCGAGAUGAGGCGCACCAAGAGCGUACACGCUGGGACCCGAAAGAUGGUGAACUAUGCCUGGUCAGGACGAA
rnacentral:rRNA from 1 species